AUUGAACGCUGGCGGCAGGCCUAACACAUGCAAGUCGAACGAGUGGCGGACGGGUGAGUAAUGUCUGGGAAACUGCCUGAUGGAGGGGGAUAACUACUGGAAACGGUAGCUAAUACCGCAUACCAUCGGAUGUGCCCAUAUGGGAUUAGUUUGUAGGUGGGGUAACGGGUCACCUAGGCGACGAUCCCUAGCUGGGCUGAGAGGAUGACCAGCCACACUGGAACUGAGACACGGUCGAGACUCCUACGUGUGGCAGCGGUGGGGAAUAUUGCACAAUGGGCGCAAGCCUGAUACAGCCAUGCCGCGGGUAUGAAGAAGGCCUUCGGGUUGUAAAGUACUUUCAGCGAGGAGGCGUUACCCGCAGAAGAAGCACCGGCUAACUCCGUGCCAGCAGCCGCGGUAAUUC
rnacentral:rRNA from 1 species